rnacentral:tRNA from 2 species
GGGUCGGCCCGCCUAUUAGUUUGUGGGGCAACGGUCUGUAAAAUCGUCCUUUUUUGGUUGCAGGUGCAAAUCCUGCCCGACCCA